rnacentral:rRNA from 1 species
AUAGAGACUCAGAGCUGCAUAUCAAUAAGCGGAGGAAAAGAAACUAACAAGGAUUCCCUUAGUAACGGCGAGCUGAAGCGGGAAGAGCUCAAAUUUGAAAUCUUCAAGGUUCUACCUUGACGAAUUGUAGUUUAAAGAAGUGUUUUCUGUUAGAUGAGUAGCAAAAGUUCCUUGGAAUGGGACAUCAUAGAGGGUGAGAAUCCCGUAUUUGGUUAUUCAUUCUAGCUUUGUGAUACACUUUCAAAGAGUCGGAUUGUUUGGGAAUGCAGUCCAAAAUGGGUGGUAAAUUUCAUCUAAAGCUAAAUAUUGGCGAGAGACCGAUAGCGAACAAGUACCGUGAGGGAAAGAUGAAAAGAACUUUGAAAAGAGAGUUAAACAGUACGUGAAAUUGUCAAAAGGGAAGCGUUUGACACCAGUGUUGUUUUUCCGAAAAUCAAUUACGAAUGGCUUGAUUUUGUGUUGUAUUGACCUUAUCAGCUUUCUGCACUCUUUUCGAGGUCUUUUUAAUGCACUUUUCGGUUAACAAGUCAACAUCAAUUUCUUUUGUUGUAAAAGGGUCAUUGGAAGGUGGCUUUCUUUUCGGAGAAAGUGUUUAUAGCCUUUGGCCUCUGCAAUCGGAGAGAUUGAGGUCUGCAGCGUAGAUCCUUCGGGGUUAGAUACAUUUGUGCUAAGUUAUAGCCUUUCAUAGACAACUUGUUGACUAUGAUCAGUCAUGUAGCUUACUCGCUUAUGCUAUUUUACCUACGCUUAGGAUGUUGACGAUCAGCUGAGCGCG